rnacentral:tmRNA from 1 species
GGGGCUGAUUCUGGAUUCGACGGGAUUUGUGAAACCCAAGGUGCAUGCCGAGGUGAGGUAGGCCUCGUUAAACAGCCUCAAAAAAAUAAUUGCAAACGAUAACUCGUUCGAACCUGCUGCUUUAGCAGCUUAAUCAGCUUAAUACCCUGAAGGUUCCCUCUCUCCCUAGCCUUCGCUCUUAGGACGGGGAUCAAGAGAGGUCAAACCCAAAAGAGCUCGCGUGGAGAUCCUGCCUGGGGUUAAAGCGCUAAAACUAAUCAGGCUAGUUUGUCAGUAGCGUGUCCGUCCGCAGCUGGCAGGCGAAUGUAAUGACUGGACUAAGCAUGUAGUGCCGAGGACGUAAUAAUUCCGGACGGGGGUUCAAAUCCCCCCAGCUCCACCA